UACGGGGGGGGCAAGCGUUGUUCGGAAUUACUGGGCGUAAAGGGCUCGUAGGCGGCCAACUAAGUCAGACGUGAAAUCCCUCGGCUUAACCGGGGAACUGCGUCUGAUACUGGAUGGCUUGAGUUUGGGAGAGGGAUGCGGAAUUCCAGGUGUAGCGGUGAAAUGCGUAGAUAUCUGGAGGAACACCGGUGGCGAAGGCGACAUCCUGGACCAACACUGACGCUGAGGAGCGAAAGCGUGGGGAGCAAACAGG
rnacentral:rRNA from 1 species